rnacentral:rRNA from 1 species
AUUGAACGCUAGCGGGAGGCCUAACACAUGCAAGUCGAACGAGUGGCGGACGGGUGAGUAAUAUAUGGGAAACUGCCCGAUAGAGGGGGAUAACUACUGGAAAGGGUGGCUAAUACCGCAUACUAUUGGAUGGGCCGAUAUGGGAUUAGCUAGUUGGUGGGGUAAAGGCUAACCAAGGCACCGAUCCCUAGCUGGUCUGAGAGGAUGACCAGCCACACGGGGACUGAGACACGGCCCAGACUCCUACGGGAGGCAGCAGUGGGGAAUAUUUCACAAUGGGGGAAACCCUGAUCCAGCCAUGCCGCGUGUAUGAAGAAGGCCUUCGGGUUGUAAAGUACUUUCGGCGGAGAGGCGUUAUCUGCAGAAGAAGCACCGGCUAACUCCGUGCCAGCAGCCGCGGUAAUAC